UGGACAAUGGAGAGGCAUUCUUAAGAGUGUCUAAUGAUGGGAAAAAAAGAAAAAAUAUUUAUUGUUUUUGACAGUUUCACAAGGGGCAAAAAUCCUUGUCAUGGUUAAAGUUUCCACAGCUGUUGGAGGGAAAGGGUGGGCUCCUCAGGACUAAAACAGUUCCACUCUUUUGUGUUGGAGGCAAAGCACAAGAGCCAAGCUGUGAAAUUAAAGACUAAGUUCAUUAAGAGAGCUGAUGUCUUUGCAAAAGGAAACCGCGGAAGUGACUUGUAACCUACCAGUCAUGUUUUAAAAGCCUUGCAGGCAACUCUGAAGAUGAGCCAGGGACCACAUCAGUGUGAACUGACCUCCUCCUUCCUUUUAUACUUUCAUUUCACUUGAAGGUCUUCAAGGCAACUCACAUCUGAUUUUUGGGGUAAAAGCAAUAAAAUAAAUUAAGGCUAACAAGCUACAAUGAAAGAUGGGGAAGCUAUGUUUACUGAGGCCACACACAAGAGAACAAGAGAAAGGUGGAGCCUCCUCAAGAAGCCCCCCCCCCACGGAUGACUGGCAUCCCCAGGCAGCGGCACCCACUCCAGUUCACAUGCAGGGGGAGUCUCACCAUGAAGUGGAAGCAAUCCUGGACUCUAGAAUGCAUUGCAACCGCCUGCAGUAUCUGAUUGCCUGGACCCAUUUCCCAGCUGGGCACAACGGGUGGACUCAGGACAUGUGCAAGCCCCCCGUUUAGUGAAAGCUUUCCACCGGGCUUACCCUGACCGUCCAGGGGAGGGGAAAGUCUUAAAGGGGGCGGAAUGUCAGGACUGAGCCCGUCAGUGCCAAAUGGUCUUCCCCUCGGCGCCCCAGGGUAUCCCGGACACAGUUCUUGUCAAAGGAAGGUGUGAACUGUUCCAGGCUCGCAAUGCUUUGUAGUGAAUGUUUUGUAGUUUGUAGGGGGGAGUUGAAGCCUUUUGGCUUGGUGGGAGGGGGCAACGGGAUAUAGGUUUGUGCGGGAAUUGCCAGAUUCCUCUUUUACGAUGUUACCUACGCUCUGAAUGUAAAGGCUUUAGAGCAAAUCUACAGUUUCCGUGAUUUCCAGAUUCAAGGUCUGACAAUAGAACCCUGGAAGCUAAUCCUAGCACUUUCAAUCUUCCAGCUGCUAGCAAUCAAGUAGUCUCAUGGCACAAACUGAGUUUUGCAAUAUUGCUUCAUCUUUUGUUUUGCUUGUAGUUGUUGUUAUCUGGGAGGUGAUCCUUUAAAAAAAUAUCUUUGGCAAUACCUCUCUAUUCAUUUUCUUGGGCAUAAGCCCACUAAAUUUAGUAGAACUUACUUCUAGGGAACCAUGAACUGCCCUGCAAGAAUCAGAAAAGUGGAGGAGAUUUUGAAAAAGAAACACCUCAAUUUAAGUAGCCCAUGCCACACAGAGUCAGUUAUAAAUUUGGGUUUGCUACUGAAACUCACAUGGAGCCAUAUCUAGUUUUUGCACCUGAAUUUGUUUGCCUAAACCCUAUCAAACUGAAAGGUAGACCUUUUAAUCAUGUUUUUUAACCCUUUGUAUAAGGAAUUUGUUGUGGGAGGGAGGGAUUGUGUGGGUAGUGUAAGAGGGAUUGUGAUGUAAGGUGAGUGGACAGAUUGGUAUCUGGUGGGAGGCCCACUUGGAGUCAGGGAUCGCUGUUGUUGGGGGCCGAGGGAGGUAGAAUGGUGUAGGAGUUUCUCUAAGGGGAGAGCAAGAAGAGAUGGUUAUGCUCAAUGCUCUUCUAAUCUCUGUCCCAUCUCAAGGCAUGUUGGUGUGGAGGCUAGGGAAGUUAACCCAUCUUUGACACUAGUGUUGUGCAAUGACAAAUCUAUCAAUAAUAAAAUGAAGACUGCAA